GGGAUUAUAGUUCAAUCGGUCAGAGCACCAUCAUGUCAAGGCGAAAGUUGCGGGUUCGAGUCUUGUCAGUCCCG
rnacentral:tRNA from 1 species